rnacentral:ncRNA from 1 species
GCCUCGUCCGAGGGGAGUCCAGGUCCGCAUGGGUCUGGUCUGAGAUGGCUGAGAAGCCGAACCCUUUGAACCUGAUCCGGGUAAUGCCGGCGAAGGGACGGGAUCGUUAUCCGCCA